CCUGAGAAACGGCUACCACAUCCAAGGAAGGCAGCAGGCGCGCAAAUUACCCACUCCCAGCUCGGGGAGGUAGUGACGAAAAAUAACGAUACGGAACUCUUAUGAGGCUCCGUAAUCGGAAUGAGUACACUUUAAAUCCUUUAACGAGGAUCUAUUGGAGGGCAAGUCUGGUGCCAGCAGCCGCGGUAAUUCCAGCUCCAAUAGCGUAUAUUAAUGUUGUUGCGGUUAAAAAGCUCGUAGUUGGAUCUCGGUUUCGGGCGAGCGGUGCGCCUUGCGGCGUCUACUGUUUGCCCGGACGAUUUUGCUGGUUCGUUCCUGGUUCUCUUAACCGAGUGCCAGGAGUGGCCAGCACGUUUACUUUGAAAAAAUUGGAGUGCUCAAAGCAGGCGCUACAGCCUGAACAUUAGUGCAUGGAAUAAUGGAAUAGGACCUCGGUUCUAUUUCGUUGGCUUUCGGAGUCGAGGUAAUGAUUAAUAGGGACAGACGGGGGCAUUCGUACUGCGACGUUAGAGGUGAAAUUCUUGGAUCGUCGCAAGACGAACUACUGCGAAAGCAUUUGCCAAGAAUGUUUUCAUUAAUCAAGAACGAAAGUUAGAGGUUCGAAGGCGAUCAGAUACCGCCCUAGUUCUAACCAUAAACGAUGUCGACUGGCGAUCCGCUAUCGUUAACUGAAAGACUUAGCGGGCAGCCUCCGGGAAACCAAAGUGUUUGGAUUCUGGGGGGAGUAUGACUGCAAAAUUGAAACUUAAAAGAAUUGACGGAAGGGCACCACCAGGAGUGGAGCCUGCGGCUUAAUUUGACCCAACACGGGAAAUCUCACCAGGCCCGGACACCGGUAGGAUUGACAGAUUGAGAGCUCUUUCUUGAUUCGGUGGGUGGUGGUGCAUGGCCGUUCUUAGUUGGUGGAGCGAUUUGUCUGGUUAAUUCCGAUAACGAACGAGACUCUGGCCUACUAACUAGACGUUAGAUCCCUUCGUGGGUCUAUCGCAGCUUCUUAGAGGGACGGGCGGCGUUUAGCCGCACGAGAUUGAGCAGUAACAGGUCUGUGAUGCCCUUAGAUGUUCUGGGCUGCACGCGCGCUACACUGAAGGAAUCAGCGUGUGUUCCCUGCCCGAAAGGGUUGGGAAACCCGUUGAACCUCCUUCGUGAUGGGGAUUGGGGAUUGCAAUUAUUCCCCAUGAACGAGGAAUUCCCAGUAGGCGCGAGUCAUAAGCUCGCGUCGAUUACGUCCCUGCCCUUUGUACACACCGCCCGUCGCUACUACCGAUCGAGUGAUUUAGUGAGGCCUUCGGACUGGUCUUCAGUAUGGCUUUCGGGUCGUGUUGGAGUUUCGGAAAGAUGACCAAACUUGAUUACUUAGAGGAAGUAAAAGUCGUAACAAGGUU
rnacentral:rRNA from 1 species